rnacentral:rRNA from 1 species
GACGAACGCUGGCGGCGUGCUUAACACAUGCAAGUCGAACGAAGUGGCGAACGGGUGAGUAACGCGUAAUCAACCUGCCCUUCAGAGGGGGACAACAGUUGGAAACGACUGCUAAUACCGCAUACUGAAGGAGGGGAUUGCGUGUGCUUCGGUAGGUGGAGGGGUAACGGCCCACCAAGGCGAUGAUCCGUCGCCGGGCUGGGAGGAUGAACGGGCAAAUGUGGACUUGGGCACGGCCCAAACUCCUACGGGAGGCAGCAGGGGGGAAUUUUCCGCAAUGGACGAAAGUCUGACGGAGCAACUCCGCGGGAGGGAUGACGGCUUUCGGGUUGUAAAGCUCUGUUAAUCGGGAAGCGGUACCGGAAUAGAAAGCCACGGCUAACUACGUGCCAGCAGCCGCGGUAAUAC